UACGUAGGGUGCGAGCGUUGUCCGGAUUUAUUGGGGUACGGUAAAGAGCUCGUAGGCGGUUUGUCGCGUCGGCCGAUGAAAUCUCCACGCUUAACGUGGAGCGUGCGGUCGAUACGGGCAGACUUUGAGUUCGGUAGGGGGAGGAACUGGAAUUCCUGUGUAGCGGUGGAAAUGACGCAGAUAUCAGGAGGAACACCGGUAG
rnacentral:rRNA from 1 species